rnacentral:tRNA from 1 species
GAGUUCGGGAAGAUAAAGAUCGGCCGGAUUCGAACCGGUCUGGCUGGGAAGAUAAAGAUCGGCCGGAUUCG